UACGUAGGGUGCAAGCGUUGUCCGGAAUUAUUGGGCGUAAAGAGCUCGUAGGCGGUCUGUCGCGUCGGCUGUGAAACCCGGGGCUCAACCCCGGGCCUGCAGUCGAUACGGGCAGACUAGAGUGCGGUAGGGGAGACUGGAAUUCCUGGUGUAGCGGUGAAAUGCGCAGAUAUCAGGAAGAACACCAGUGGCGAAGGCGGCUCACUGGACCGGUUCUGACGCUGAGGCGCGAAAGCGUGGGGAGCAAACGGG
rnacentral:rRNA from 1 species